AGCAUGAAUCAGUCCUGAAAUGUGCCGGAGAAGCCAACAAACACAACAUUACCUUCACCCGCAUCUCUCAUGCAAAGUGUCCCAAAGAGGCUGGCAGAAUGGAAUUGAGCUGAGUCGCAAUGAGAAAGCAUAUAUGCUAUAAAGGAACAUUCGAUAUAGAAGCAAUCACUCCAAGGUGAUUCGUGCCAUCCGUCAGUCAGAGGUAUAAAUCCCACGGGGCGCAUGAGGUCCCUUUCAAUAAAAUGCAGAUGGAAUUGAGAGCUGCCUUCCAUGUAUUUAUAGUUACUUCUGCUCCACUGCUCAUGCAGUCCUCUAGGAAGAAGAAAUAAGUAAAUGUUUAUGCAGGAGGCUGCCCACCAUCCCCAGCAGAGUGCUUAUUACAAUUAAUGGGAACACAUAAUGUCUAUGUUGGGG